AUGAAGUGGCGCCAAGCUUCUGGCAUUCUCUAUGACAAGAGAGUGCCACAAAAGCUAAAAGGCAAGUUCUACAGGACGGCAGUUCGACCCGCAAUGUUGUAUGGUGCUGAGUGUUGGCCGGCUAAAAGGCGACAUGUACAACAAUUAGGUGUGGCGGAGAUGCGUAUGUUGAGAUGGAUGUGUGGCCACACGAAGAAGGAUCGAGUCCGGAAUGAUGAUAUACGAGAGAGUUGGGGUAGCACCAAUUGA
rnacentral:rRNA from 1 species